UACGUAGGGUGCGAGCGUUGUCCGGAAUUACUGGGCGUAAAGAGCUCGUAGGUGGUUUGUCGCGUCUGCCGUGAAAGUCCGGGCUCAACUCCGGAUCUGCGGUGGGUACGGGCAGACUAGAGUGAUGUAGGGAGACUGGAAUUCCUGGUGUAGCGGUGAAAUGCGCAGAUAUCAGGAGGAACACCGAUGGCGAAGGCAGGUCUCUGGCAUUAACUGACGCUGAGGAGCGAAAGCCAGGGAGCAAACGGG
rnacentral:rRNA from 1 species